CUCUCUCAGAGCUAGGUUGAAAUCUCAGAUUGGGAUUUCAUUAACUAACAGAGUUCAACUAACCCUUUCUACUUCUUCUUGACUUGAAGUGAGUUCAACUAACCCUUUCUUCUUCUUCUUCACUUGAAGUGAAUCCAAACAAUGUUGUUAUCAUCAUCAACACUAAUCGAAUACAAAAACCUCGCAUUUCAAAUCGGAUUAUCAAUCCUUCUAACUCUAAUCCUCACAAUGCUUCAACUCCCAAUCCGAUUUCUCGAAGGUCUUAAUACUAAAUCUGGGUUUCGUCCAGCAAUCCGCAGACCAAGUGAUAACAACACUUCUGUUGAAGGCUAUCAAAAUUUAGAUAUUUAGUAGUGUUUCCGUUUCUUGCAGCAUUGGUUCUUCUGUUUCUUGGACUAUUGCAAAUUGAAGAAGAAGACACUACUAAUGUCGCGUCAACUCUGACGAGUCUCCUUGGUGACGUUGCUGUUGUGGCCAAUUCCUGUCAGGAUAUUGCAACGAUGAACGGUUGAAGUUGUGAUCUUUUUACCCUUAAGUUAGGAGUAGGUGGACAAAAUUGGACUCUAUGAGAUAGUGAGUUGUUCUUAUGAAGGAUUCUCUUGUAGACUCUGCUCAUUUCCUGAAACUUCCACGCAAUUAUACAUCCCAUCUUUGGAAUUUUUGGAUGGGAACAAUUUCUGAAAACCAUUAUAUUGCGCGACAAAUAUAUACAACUGCAUCAGAGGCAAGUGAAACAACAAUAAGUAACUCGUUGCAGUUUAUAUGAGCACUACGAGCUCAAGCUCUCAACGCUAAGUACUUUCCUUACCAUGAUUUAAAGCAAGAACCCCCUCAUCACUGCAGAAACUCUAGCUGGAUACGGCAAAGCAUCAAACAUGGUCUUCAGAUCAUUUUUACUUAUGUGGGGCACAAAAGUUAAUAUUUAGACACACAGCUGAUACUUACAUUGGAGACUCCACUACAAGCUUGGGAUGAUCUGCAUCUACCAAGGGGUGACCCAGCUCAUUGAUCAUAAGACUGCUUGAUGGAACAUACCACUGCUUAGGGAUGUCUCCACACCACUAGAAGUUGCUUUCGUUUACACCAUCCUCUGCAAAUAAAUCAACCAGAUAAUCUUAUUUCACUACAAGCUCCAUUUAUCAGCAACUUUGCAAGCAACACCAGCCUAACCCAAUGCCAACUAAUUUUAUAACAUCCUUUUGGCUCAAGUUUUGGGAGCUUAAAGUCCCCCUACAAGCUUCAGAUAAUUCUCUGGAAAGUUCUGUUAAACAUUCUUCCAGUUAAGGCCAAGCUAUUCCGUACAACUAUCAUCUCUCAGACCUGUGUUUUGUGUAACUCUCAGCAUCCAUUUGAUCUGGAUCAUCUUUUCCUGCAGUGGAGCUUUGUAAAAGGUUUCUGGAAUGCUAGUCCUUCUUGGAGCAUCCCUCUCAUCAACAUAUGCAAUCUUGGAUGGCUACUUGGCAUCUGGCAGAGGCUAUGCCGUGGGUUCCUCAGCAGGGGUGGACUUGUGUUGUCUUUGAAACUGCUAAUACAGAUAUUAAGUAGCCAUCACUGUCAACAUCUCAAUCCCACUUGUGGCAGAUACUCAUGGAUUCCUUCUGGUGCUGGAGCUAGCCCACCGAGUCGAAGCCCACAACAUCAUUGUAGAAGGAGAGUGUCAACAAGUUUGCUUCAUACUGCAGGAAAAACAAAGAGCAUGCCUUGGAGAAUCACUCACCUUAUUAACGAAAUUGGCGCAAAGGCCCUUGAACUCAGUAGAGUUCUCUUUUGUUCUGGAACGAGCCAACACUCUGGCUCAUGAUCUAGCAUAUUAUGCUAAAGGGCACGUCCAAGCUUAGUGGACUGCUAGGUCCCUUCUUUUUACCCCGGAGCAUAACUGCUUCAAUUUUUGUUUUUCUGUUUCUUUGCUUUUUGUUUUAGUUUCCUUGGUUUUGUGUUUUUCUGCUCCAAGCAGAGUCCAAAAAGAAAAACAUGCAAUG